rnacentral:misc_RNA from 1 species
GAAAUGCGAUAAGUAAUGUGAAUUGCAGAAUUCCGUGAAUCAUCGAAUCUUUGAACGCACAUUGCGCCCUCUGGUAUUCCGGGGGGCAUGCCUGUCCGAGCGUCAUUGCGAACCCCUCAAGCACGGCUUGUGUGAUGGGCCCUCCCGCGUCUUGGUCGUCAAGACGGGCCCGAAAUGCAGUGGCGGCUUCGCGGUUAUCCGAUCAGCCAGAGCGUAUGGGGACUUUCUCUCUGUCACACGCCCGCGGCGCGGACCGACGCCUGUCGACCUUCAUUCAUCGUUUUCUCGGUUGACCUCGGAUCAGGUAUGGAUACCCGCUGAACUUAAGC